UACAGAGGGUGCAAGCGUUGUUCGGAAUUAUUGGGCGUAAAGCGCGUGUAGGCGGCCAUCUAAGUCUGGUGUGAAAUCCCUCGGCCCAACUGAGGAAGUGCAUUGGAUACUGGAUGGCUAGAGGAUGAGAGAGGAGAGUGGAAUUCCCGGUGUAGGGGUGAAAUCCGUAGAUAUCGGGAGGAACACCAGAGGCGAAGGCGGCUCUCUGGCUCAUUUCUGACGCUGAGACGCGAAAGCGUGGGGAGCAAACAGG
rnacentral:rRNA from 1 species